rnacentral:rRNA from 1 species
UACGUAGGGUGCAAGCGUUAAUCGGAAUUACUGGGCGUAAAGCGUGCGCAGGCGGUUGGGUAAGACAGAUGUGAAAUCCCCGGGCUUAACUUGGGAACUGCAUUUGUGACUGUCCGACUGGAGUACGUCAGAGGGGGGUGGAAUUCCACGUGUAGCAGUGAAAUGCGUAGAUAUGUGGAAGAACACCGAUGGCGAAGGCAGCCCCCUGGGACGCAACUGACGCUCAUGCACGAAAGCGUGGGGAGCAAACAGG